AUGCAGGACAGAUCUGAGCUCCACUGCCUCCAUUGCUCCCUUUCCCCCGACCAGAUCUGCCUCUUGCAUUCUGGCACCUCGCCGGCGUGGCUCCAGCGUUGCUCCGGCGACUCAGAUCCAACACGCCGUCGUUGCUUGAGCACCGGGACGCCAUCGACGGGACGUCUUCCUCCUCCCCUGUCCCGAAGUCAUGAACGAUGCAGCUUCACUGCUACCCUGACGCCAUCAAGGUCAGACCCCCAAUCAUCUCCUCCCCUUUUCAUUUUCUUCUUCCAAAUCCCUAAGCAGCUGUUGGCAGGCCGGAGAUGA
rnacentral:rRNA from 1 species